GACGAACGCUGGCGGCGUGCUUAACACAUGCAAGUCGAACGGAAAGGCCCUGCUUUUGUGGGGUGCUCGAGUGGCGAACGGGUGAGUAACACGUGAGUAACCUGCCCUUGACUUUGGGAUAACUUCAGGAAACUGGGGCUAAUACCGGAUAGGAGCUCCUGCUGCAUGGUGGGGGUUGGAAAGUUUCGGCGGUUGGGGAUGGACUCGCGGCUUAUCAGCUUGCUUGUGGGGUAGUGGCUUACCAAGGCUUUGACGGGUAGCCGGCCUGAGAGGGUGACCGGCCACAUUGGGACUGAGAUACGGACCAGACUCCUACGGGAGGCAGCAGUGGGGAAUAUUGCACAAUGGGCGGAAGCCUGAUGCAGCAACGCCGCGUGCGGGAUGACGGCCUUCGGGUUGUAAACCGCUUUCGCCUGUGACGAAGCGUGAGUGACGGUAAUGGGUAAAGAAGCACCGGCUAACUACGUG
rnacentral:rRNA from 1 species